AUGGGUAUUCUAGUGUAUGAAUUCAGUGUGCAUUGUGAUGUGAAUAUCGUCCGGCCAGGUAGGGCAGCUGUCCAGACUCCGCCCGACCAUGCUUCACUAUCUCGCGAUGGAGAUCUUCUAUGGCCAUCUUCCGACACACCAUACCGUAAACAGAUACACACCGCAACACCACUCUUGCCUUUCCGGUUUCCGUUCAAUCAAUUAUCGGUUGUGGUGUUGAAUUUGUUGUUUCGUGCUAUGUCCACCAAGUGUUCGGGAGUACUUCUAGAUAUUUGA